AAUUUGUAAUGUCAUAUGAGUUUGAUGUAGAACGGAAAACUGAUAGAACAUGAAAUUUCUUGUGGUGUUAGUUCUGUUUUUUGCGUGUGCUGGAGCGGCAUCCUUGAGGUCUAUAAGUUCCUGCGCGAAAGCAAGGCUGCAUUAUCAGUAUAUCUACUGUUAUACCAAUGCGGAAUGCACAUCUGAUCAGGCCUGCGGGGGUCUAUGUCCAAUGUACAACGAAGACCUUUCUAACAUCGUCUGGACGUGCUACAACCAAACCUGUGUUUGCUAUAGCACUCAAUAUAUUAUCGUUUGAAUAACACAGACGUUUUUACUGUAACAAUAUAAAAUUUGAGCAGUUGA